UGGGCGUAAGCGCGCGCAGGCGGUUCCUUAAGUCUGAUGUGAAAGCCCCCGGCUCAACCGGGGAGGGUCAUUGGAAACUGGGGAACUUGAGUGCAGAAGAGAAGAGUGGAAUUCCACGUGUAGCGGUGAAAUGCGUAGAGAUGUGGAGGAACACCAGUGGCGAAGGCGACUCUUUGGUCUGUAACUGACGCUGAGGCGCGAAAGCGUGGGGAGCAAACAGGAUUAGAUACCCUGGUAGUCCACGCCGUAAACGAUGAGUGCUAAGUGUUAGAGGGUUUCCGCCCUUUAGUGCUGCAGCAAACGCAUUAAGCACUCCGCCUGGGGAGUACGGCCGCAAGGCUGAAACUCAAAGGAAUUGACGGGGGCCCGCACAAGCGGUGGAGCAUGUGGUUUAAUUCGAA
rnacentral:rRNA from 2 species